UACUAAAAUAAUGGCUAAUUGAAUCCAAGAAUAUAUAGAAAGAAUUAUAUACCAAGACCCAGUAAGAUUUAUUUUAGAUAAGCAAGUCUGGUAUAACAUUAAAAAAUCAAUCAACAUAAUCCACCAUAUCAACAGGAUAAAGAAGAAAAAUUAUAUUAUCAUAUCAAUCGAUGCACAAAAAGCAUUGAUAAAAUCCAAUAUCCAUGAAAAUAAAAAGUUUGGAAAACUAGGAAUAAAGAAUAAUUUUCUUAACUUGAUGAAAUUUAUUUUAAAAAACUAACAUAUAUUUGAUGGCCAGAGAUUGGAUGCUUUUCUACUGAUGUCCUUGGAAACAAGGCAGAAAUUUUUUUCUUUCAUACUCCUAUACAACAUGUAUUAAAGGACAAACUAUUACAAUAGGAUAGUUUGACAGUUUCUUACAAAGUUAAAUACUUCCUUACCUUAUGAUCUACAAAUCAUGCUUUUAGGUAUUUAUCCGACUGAUUUAAAAAAUAGAACACUAAAAACCUGCAUGUGGAUAUCUAUAGCAGACCUAUUCAUAAUUGUCAAAAACUGGAAGUAACUAAUAUGUCCUUUAAGAGGUAAAUGGAUAAAGAGAAAGUUGUACAUGUAUAUAAUGAAAUACUAUUCAGCAAUAAGGAAUAUACUAUCAAGCCAUGCAAAUACACGAAUGAAUCUUAAAUUCAUAUUUCUAUCUGAAAGAAGACAAUCGGAAAAGCUGUAUGCUAUAUGAUUCCAAUGAUAUAACGAUUCAAACAAUAGAGGCAUUUAAAAAUAUCAGUGGAUUCCAGGAAUACAGGGUAGAGUCAGACGUAAAUAGAUAAAUCACAUGGGAUCUUUUAGGGUGAUGGAAAACAUUCUGCAUGAAACUGUAAUCAUGGAAACAUGGCACCAUGAAUUUGUCAAAGCCUAUAGGGCACAAAGACUAAAACUGAAUACUAUGGCAAAAAAAAUGCUUUUGAUGGUUAAUAUUAGGUGUCAACUUGAUUAGAUUGAAGGAUGCUUGGAUAGCUGGUUAAGUAUUGUUUCUGAGUGUGUCUGUAAAGGUGUUGCCAGAGGAGAUUAAUAUUUGAGUCAGUGGACUGAGAAAGGAGCACUCAUGCUCAAUGUGGGUGGGCACCAUUCAAUCAGCUGCCAGCAUGGCUAGAACAAAGCAGGUGAAAGAAGGUAGGAUAAGCUGGCUCACUGAGUCUUCUGGCUUCCAUCUUUCUCCCAUGCUGAUACUUCCUGACCUUGGACAUCAGCCUACAGGUUCUUUGGUUUUUGGACCCUUGGACUUACACCAGUGGUUUGCCGGGGUCUCUCAGGCCUUUGGCCACAGACUGAAGGUUGCACUGUUGGAUUCCCCACUUUUGAGGCUUUUGUUCUCAGCUUGAGUCACUACUGGCUUCCUUCCUCCUCAGCUUGCAGACAGCCUAUCAUGGGACACACCUUUUGAUUGUGUGAGUUAAUUCUCUUUAAUAAAUUCCCUUUCAUAUAUGCAUAUAUCCUAUUAGUCUGUCCCUCUGGAGAACCCUAAUACAACCCUAUGCAUGGAAAACAUUACGAUGAUUUAGGAGGUGAGGAGUUAUCAGAAUAGAAUGAAGAAUGAGACAAAUUAACCAUACAACAAAUUAAAAAAAAAAAAAAAAA
rnacentral:lncRNA from 1 species